rnacentral:tRNA from 1 species
UCCCUUGUGUCUCAGCUGGUAAAGAAUCCACCUGCAAUGUGGGAGACCUGGGUUCGAUCCCUGGGUUGGGAA